GUUUUUAUAGUUGAAUUACAACGAUGAUUUUUCAUGUCAUUGGUCGUGGUUAAACCCCAUGUAAAAAUA
rnacentral:tRNA from 1 species